CCAAGGUUUACAAAAAAACAACUCAACAUAUAUAAACACACAUCAAACACCAACUCAUGCUUUUGGCAUGACACCUCCCCCUUAAGAUGGUGGACAGAAAAAUUCAGCCACAGGCUGAUUUAUCUGUCUACCAUUAACCUUUGGUUCACAAUCAGAAAGUUGCUUAGGUGUAUGCGUGAGUUGUGAUAAACUGACAAGGUUCCUGGUUCCUCCAACAAUAUGUUUCCCUGCAGCCAUCCUUCCUGGACCCACAGGCUGAGUCUGUCCGUGCCCCUCACUUUAACUCCAGGUCAUCACACAUACCGAACUUUGGAAACUGGCUAAGCCUGCCGCAGAGUAAAGCUCACACACCCUCUGCCCUCCCUCAUAGCCUUCUGUCCCUUCACAUUUUCACCCACCACAUCACAUACAUCUGCUUCAGGCACAUAUUGGCACAUAUAUUCAUUCAGCCCCCUCUCGCUGGAAGGCUUUUCCCAUACAUUUUCACAGGACACAUUUGACCCCCCCUUGAUCAGAUGCAGAAUUUUGCACACACUCACAUAAUUUCUUCUCCAAGGCAGGCCCUCCUCUCACAAUCUCACAUAGCACCUCAGACUGUCCUGCUGCAGCCCUGACCCACUGUUGACUUGUUACCACUGCGACUAGUGGUACACAUCCCUGGCUCUCACCUUCCUCCUCCCCCUUACUCUCUGAAAUCCUAGCCUCACAGUAUUUUGAUACAGGCACAUCACUACUCACCCCUAUCUCACAUUUGGUAGACAUCACUGGUUCAGUUACAGGUAGAUAUUUAUCCACACCCUGCUCUCCCUCCCAGCAAUCACAGUUCACAAUGUCUCCUAAAGUUUCACACAAUACCUUAGGUGGAGCAGUCAGCCCUUCUGGCUCACAAACAGUGUCCACUGGAGCAUAGUGACAGAGCAUCCUGCCCAAAUCAUUCCCCAACAGAACAUUAACAGGGAUAUCCUCUGAAAUCCCCACUUCCCGCAAACCUUUGCCCGCACCCCAAUCAAGGUACACACGUGCCAAGGGCACAGCGGGGCAUACACCCCUAAUUCCUUUGAUGGACAUGGUUCUUCCAGGGAUUAUGUCCUCCAUAUUCACGACUUCAGGGCGCACCAGGGUGAAUGAAGCUCCAGAAUCUCUCAGUCCCAUGGUCACUUGGUCACCCACAAUUACACUCUGCAGGUUAUCGUCUCGUUUCCCCACGGACCCACCCACAAGCAAAACUGAUGGUGCCCCUCCACGGGCUGGUGAGGGUAUAUUCCUAGUGGGGCAGGUCCUGCUCAGAUGACCAAUCUGGUUGCAUCGAAAAUAACGGCGGGCAUCUGACUCACUUGACAUAGCCCCGGCUACGCUGGCAGUCGGCGGUGAAGUUCUCACUGCAGAUCUUACAGGUGGUGAUUGAACUGUAGCUUCUCUCCAGGUCGAAGUAGCAGCUGACACCAGUCCACGCCUGGAUGUGGGUGCAUGGAUGUCGGCAUAGUCAUCUGCCAGUUCUGCAGCAGCCCUAGCAUUUUUUGGCUUUCUUUCCAAAAUCCACUUUCGUACAUUAGGGCUCCGGGUCUGCAAGAACUGCUCCAGGACCAUUAAGUCAUUAAGGGCUUCAUAGGUAGUAGCUUGUACUCCCAUUACCCAUUGCUGGAAUGUGGUUUCUAAUUGUGCAACAUAUAGAAUGCAGCUGGAUGAUGGGCAUUGCUGCAUACUCCUAAACUUUUUCCUGUAAG
rnacentral:lncRNA from 1 species